UUUGAGCUUUUGCAAAAGUGGGUCAAAUUUUGCGUUUUUUCAAAUUCGGUCUGAUUUUUCAGCAAACUAGCCAAAAUACUUUUUUACCUUUUUCUCUUUCCUCUUUUUUUUCUCGUUCUUUUUUUCUUUCUCUUUCCAGAGAGCGGCGGAGGCGGAGGUGGAGGCGGAGGCGGCCCGUUUUGGUUUUAUCCGGCACAUCCUUACCCUCGUCCGCGCAUCCCCCGCCUUCCUCGCCUCCGACCCCGCCGAGGCCGUGCUACAACUUUUUUUUUUCCCCCUCUCCGAUCCUCCUCCACCGCCUCCUCCGACGACGUCUAUCUCACCCUCUCUCGCUCUUCCCCCCCUUUCCCUCUCCCUCAUUUUUUGCCUCCUUCGCUGCCUCCGACGACGAC
rnacentral:lncRNA from 1 species